GAUGAACGCUGGCGGCGUGCCUAAUACAUGCAAGUCGAGCGAACAGACGAGGAGCUUGCUCCUCUGACGUUAGCGGCGGACGGGUGAGUAACACGUGGAUAACCUACCUAUAAGACUGGGAUAACUUCGGGAAACCGGAGCUAAUACCGGAUAACAUGUUGAACCGCAUGGUUCAACAGUAAAAGACGGUCUUGCUGUCACUUAUAGAUGGAUCCGCGCCGCAUUAGCUAGUUGGUAAGGUAACGGCUUACCAGGGCAACGAUGCGUAGCCGACCUGAGAGGGUGAUCGGCCACACUGGAACUGAGACACGGUCCAGACUCCUACGGGAGGCAGCAGUAGGGAAUCUUCCGCAAUGGGCGAAAGCCUGACGGAGCAACGCCGCGUGAGUGAAGAAGGUCUUCGGAUCGUAAAACUCUGUUAUUAGGGAAGAACAAAUGUGUAAGUAACUAUGCACGUCUUGACGGUACCUAAUCAGAAAGCCACGGCUAACUACGUG
rnacentral:rRNA from 1 species